GCCGUGCGCUUGUUUACAAGUGAGUGACUCACCCUGUGUGGCGCCCGUCUCCUGACCUGCUCUCUCAUACCCCCAGCUCCGUCUAUUUCUGUUAGAGAGGAAGAGCAGGGACAGGGCUGUCGGCAUUAUGCGGAGGAGCAUCAUUAGUAAGGACUGCAGCCCUUUUAUCCCCGCCUCCGCCCUAGACUGCACAGCACUUCAAGUUCUCCCCUCUGGCUUCCAUCAACGAUCCCUCCCCCUAACAUUAUCAUCAUUACUACCGCCGGAAGCCCCAAGAUGAGGAUAGAAUGGCAGAGGGGUGUCUUCUGCAUCCGAAAGGCGAGAAUGCACCGCUGUGGCACCAGGCAGCGGCACCGGCAGUAUGAAGACUCCUCUCCCCUCCUCUGUGAAGAGCUGUGUGAGGACCUAAAAGGGGCGGAUAUAUGCAGGAAAAAGCGGCGGCGCUACACGGGACAAGGCUGCAGCCUGCAACACUGGAGGAUAACAUGCUACAGCCAGCCUAAUUUAGGGACCAAAUUUGGAGGGACAAGAGAGAGUUGAUAAACAAGGAACUAGAAUCCAGUCCAGUGACCAGUGUAAAAAAGGAAAAAGAGGAUAUAAAAGAGGCAAGAGAGGAGGAAAGAGGAAGAAAAAUAAGAAAACAGAACUCCCGGUAGAAUUAGAAGUAUUUAAUCUGUCCAGUCAGAAAUUAAGUGGGGAAGAAAUUAAAUUAUUAUCAAAAGGAUUGUCUUUUGCCCCAAAUACAGCACCCAAUGGGUUUGAAUUAUUUAUUGAUACUAAUAAAUUUGUAAG